rnacentral:ribozyme from 14 species
UAGAGAACUAUAAUAGAUCUAAAAGUCUAUAGACUAGACUUACUUUUUUUCUUUCUCUUCGCUUCUAUUCUUUUCAAACAAAAAAGAAAAGAAAAAGAAAGCACAAAC